GCGAAUAUAGCCUAGUGGUAAAGCAUUCGACUGUAGAUCGAGAGGUCCUCGGUUCAAACCCGAGUAUUCUCU